UAAUAUUUCAUUGACGUACGUAAUUAACUAUACCAAUUAAACUACAUAUGGCAGCUCAUGCGUAUUGUGGAAUGACCUGUUACUAACUAACUUUUAAAAAGUUGAUUUAACAUACAGCUCAAGAGUACUAAGUCUAAUACUCAAACCAUCACAACACCAAUGUCCUAUAUUAUGACAGCUAGGAAACUAGGCCAUAGAAAAUAAGUAAAAGAGGUGGCAAAAGAUGGUGCCAGCAGUCGCGGUUAUACCAAUACCCCAAGUUAAUUUCAGCAAAUCGGAGUAGCUUUUCCAUUAGGCUACAAAAUCAACUUUUAGCGUAAAAAACAAACUAUAACUAAACCCUUUCCAGCCCUAACUAGACUACUCCAACAAACCAUAACCUCAGAACUCGGAUUAGAUACCCGAUUACUGUAUGGCUCAACACACAAAAGAAUACUACGAGCGAAAGCUUAAACCUCAAACAAUGUGGCGGUGCUUUACUCCUCAUCAGGGGAUCCUGUGGCUUAAUUCGAUAAUCCACGAAAAUCUUAGCUAUUCUUGUACACAGCUUGUGUAUGGCCGUUUAUGCUUGCUCAUAGAAGAAAAAAAAGGAAGCAAUAAGGUUAAUUACCCCGAAAUUCAGGUGACAUACAGCCAAUGAAUAGCAGAUCCAUGGGAUACAAAUAAACACACUACCAAACUUAAAGCUCAAAACUUUAACGAAGGAGGACUUGAAAGUAAGAUUUCAUCUCUAUAAAAUAAAUCUGGACAAGAACUAAAGCGCGCACAAAUCGCCCGUCACUCCGACAAUAAAGUAGGAUAAGUCGUAACAUAGUAGGGGUAAUGGAAAUUGCCCCUAUUACAG
rnacentral:ncRNA from 1 species